CUGUGAUCCUUUCGUUUGAUGCCCAUCAUCGCUUUUUUCUGGAUGCCUUUGUCAAAUUAUUUUUCUUGCGACUAGGCACAACGUCAACAGGUCUGAGAUUAGAAUCUAGAUCUAGACCUUGAUAGCGCCUGACCAUGCCGAAAAGAAAACGACGUUCUGCAGUUGGAACCCCUCGCACUCGCAAAGAAUCUCCUUUUGGCACGGCCCCCUGGGUGGAGAUAGACGGACAGACCUAUGCACAGUCAAUCGCCAUCGCGGUCUACUUCGCCAGACAGUAUG